rnacentral:rRNA from 1 species
UUGACCUCGGAUCAGGUAGGAAUACCCGCUGAACUUAAGCAUAUCAAUAAGCGGAGGAAAAGAAACCAACAGGGAUUGCCCUAGUAACGGCGAGUGAAGCGGCAACAGCUCAAAUUUGAAAUCUGGCCUUUGGUCCGAGUUGUAAUUUGUAGAGGAUGCUUUUGGUGCGGUUCUUUCCGAGUUCCCUGGAACGGGACGCCUUAGAGGGUGAGAGCCCCGUACGGUUGGAUACCUAGCCUUUGUAUAGCUCCUUCGACGAGUCGAGUAGUUUGGGAAUGCUGCUCUAAAUGGGAGGUAAAUUUCUUCUAAAGCUAAAUACCGGCCAGAGACCGAUAGCGCACAAGUAGAGUGAUCGAAAGAUGAAAAGCACUUUGAAAAGAGGGUUAAACAGCACGUGAAAUUGUUGAAAGGGAAGCGCUUAUGACCAGACUUUUUCCAGGCGGAUCAUCCGGUGUUCUCACCGGUGCACUUCGCCUGGUUUAGGCCAGCAUCGGUUUUCGUAGGGGGAUAAAAGCUUUAGGAAUGUGACUCCUUCGGGAGUGUUAUAGCCUAUUGUAUAAUACCCUUGUGAGGACCGAGGUACGCGCUCUGCAAGGAUGCUGGCGUAAUGGUCAUCAGCGACCCGUCUUGAAACACGGACCAAGGAGUCGAACAUUUAUGCGAGUGUUUGGGUGUUAAACCCUCACGCGUAAUGAAAGUGAACGGAGGUGAGAGCCUUAGGGUGCAUCAUCGACCGAUCCUGAAGUCUUCGGAUGGAUUUGAGUAAGAGCAUAACUGUUCGGACCCGAAAGAUGGUGAACUAUGCGUGGAUAGGGUGAAGCCAGAGGAAACUCUGGUGGAGGCUCGCAGCGGUUCUGACGUGCAAAUCGAUCGUCAAAUCUGCGCAUGGGGGCGAAAGACUAAUCGAACCAUCUAGUAGCUGGUUACCGCCGAAGUUUCCCUCAGGAUAGCAGUGUUGUCUUCAGUUUUAUGAGGUAAAGCGAAUGAUUAGGGACUCGGGGGCGCCUUUUAGCCUUCAUCCAUUCUCAAACUUUAAAUAUGUAAGAAGCCCUUGUUACUUAAUUGAACGUGGGCAUUCGAAUGUACCAACACUAGUGGGCCAUUUUUGGUAAGCAGAACUGGCGAUGCGGGAUGAACCGAACGCGAGGUUAAGGUGCCAGAGUAGACGCUCAUCAGACACCACAAAAGGUGUUAGUACAUCUUGACAGCAGGACGGUGGCCAUGGAAGUCGGAAUCCGCUAAGGACUGUGUAACAACUCACCUGCCGAAUGUACUAGCCCUGAAAAUGGAUGGCGCUCAAGCGUCUCACCCAUACCUCGCCCUUAGGGUAGAAACGAUGCCCUAAGGAGUAGGCGGCCGUGGGGGUCAGUGACGAAGCCUAGGGCGUGAGCCCGGGUCGAACGGCCUCUAGUGCAGAUCUUGGUGGUAGUAGCAAAUACUUCAAUGAGAACUUGAAGGACCGAAGUGGGGAAAGGUUCCAUGUGAACAGCGGUUGGACGUGGGUUAGCCGAUCCUAAGCCAUAGGGAAGUUCCGUUUCAAAGUGCGCACUUGUGCGCCGUAUGGCGAAAGGGAAGCCGGUCAAUAUUCCGGCGCCUGGAUUGGGGUUUUGCGCGGCAACGCAACUGAACGUGGAGACGACGGCGGGGGCCCUGGGCAGAGUUCUCUUUUCUUCUUAACGGUUUAUCACCCUGAAAUCGGUUUGUCCGGAGCUAGGGUUUAACGGCCGGAAGAGCCCGACACCUCUGUCGGGUCUGGUGCGCCCCUGACGUCCCUUGAAAAUCCACGGGAAGGAAUAAUUCUCCAGCUAGGUCGUACUCAUAACCGCAGCAGG